rnacentral:rRNA from 1 species
UGUCUGGGAUGUCCACUUUGGACCCCCCAAGCAAAACACAUCCAUGUGUACUCUCCCAUGUUGCUUCCCUAGACCAGUGGCCACUGCUGCCAGCCCAGUCCAUAAUCGGUUCCUGGGUUGAGGUGUCUGGGGAAGGGCUCAAUAUUAAACUUUUAAACCAAUUUUAGUUGUCUGAGUAGGCCAUCCGCCGCAAUUUUUAAAAUAUAUUAAAACUUUCAACAACGGAUCUCUUGGCUCUCGCAUCGAUGAAGAACGCAGCGAAAUGCGAUAAGUAAUGUGAAUUGCAGAAUUCAGUGAAUCAUCGAAUCUUUGAACGCACAUUGCGCCCUUUGGUAUUCCUUAGGGCAUACCUGUUCGAGCGUCACUAAAAACCCCUUCACAGUUAAUGUGGUAUUGGUAGAAGUGAACGGUACUUGCCUUACCUUUGUCUCACUAUACCGAAAUGAAUAGGCCAGAGAAGUGGACCCAUGGUAAUUGACUCCAGGAGUGUGUUUUUUCUAAUGCUAUACUAGUCCUUACCCAAGUCAAGUUCUGAGCUAGCGGACCCC